rnacentral:lncRNA from 1 species
UGAAGUAUGAAGACAUGGCAUGAACUGAAAAUAUGAUUGAUUGGACGGAUUAGGCUGAUCAGUCCCAAAUGCAUGGGAUGAUCAUUGGAGCUGGCUACUUCUCUCAGAUAAGUCCUCUCUUUCUCAUUCUUCUUCACAUAAUCAUCUGUGUUCCAAAUUUUCAUUUGUUCCUUUUGUUAAAAAUCAUUUCAUUUUACUCCUUGAGUCUAUCUUUAUGAGUUUCUUCCUAGUUAGCCCUUGUUAAACAAGCAGGAAAGGAUUUCAAAGCCUACUACCAACUUCUAAAUUGCACAAAGCGAUUCUGGCCAGGCACAUCAAAAUUGACAUGGUUCAGAAUAAACAGAUUUCAAAGCCUACUAUCAGCUUCUAAAUUGCACAAAGCGAUUCUGGCCAAGCACAUCAAAAUUGACAUGAUUCGGAAUAAGCAAUAUGGUGAUAACUGAGGUUCAGGCAAUCGGGUGAAUCUUGAAUUCUGAGGAAAUACAAGGAUUCAACAACUUUCUAAAUAAAAUUAAAAAUACAAUGCAACAAGUAAGUAUGAGGGACUCUUGUCAUGCAGAGAUUUCGUGGUCUAGUGUCAGCCAAAAGAUCAAACAAUU